AAUGUUUGCUCAGAUGUAGACGAUUUUAGCUUUAGUAAUAGCACACUCUGGAUCAUUUUCACGCUCAGUCAGUUUUUGUUAAGCAAAGGCGAAAUAUCGACAUGGCAAUGAAAAUUUUAUUAAUUAUUACUUUGGCAUAUGUGGCAGGAACAAUCUAUGCCGCUACGACCGCCAAACCCAAAACUACCAGUUGUGUCGCUUGUCGGGGUUGUACAACUGCUGCCAAUUCUACUUUCAAUCUUACGAGCUGUGGCGAUUUCAUGAAAAGUCCGUCCAACACACCCGGCGGCAAAGUAAGGAUAACAUUCGGUAUCAAUGUUCCGAUACUCGGCAGACUUGGUUUGAUUACAUGCGUUGCUUGCAACUUUACUGUUGGCUCGUAGAACUUGAACAACUAAUACCUACUAAUUACCGACUGGAAUGAGAGCCCUCGAUGGGUGUGUUAAGAUUGGUAUAUUAUGUUGUUGACAAAUAAACGUUUCUACUAGGGAUUGUCGCCCGCUUAA